rnacentral:rRNA from 1 species
GUGCCAGCAGCCGCGGUAAUACGUAGGUCCCGAGCGUUGUCCGGAUUUAUUGGGCGUAAAGCGAGCGCAGGCGGUUAGAUAAGUCUGAAGUUAAAGGCUGUGGCUUAACCAUAGUACGCUUUGGAAACUGUUUAACUUGAGUGCAAGAGGGGAGAGUGGAAUUCCAUGUGUAGCGGUGAAAUGCGUAGAUAUAUGGAGGAACACCGGUGGCGAAAGCGGCCCUCUGGCUUGUAACUGACGCUGAGGCUCGAAAGCGUGGGAAGCAA